GCUGGGAUAGCUCAGUAGGUAGUGCAUGAGAUUCUUAAUCUCAGGGUUGUGGGUUUGAGCCCCAUGUUGGGCA